UUGUUGGUUCUCCCAGGCAAUGAGCGU
rnacentral:piRNA from 1 species